GGUCUCCUACGGGAGGCAGCAGUGGGGGAUAUUGCACAAUGGGGGGAACCCUGAUGCAGCGACGCCGCGUGGGUGAAGAAGCGCCUCGGCGCGUAAAGCCCUGUCAGCAGGGAAGAAAAUGACGGUACCUGAAGAAGAAGCCCCGGCUAACUACGUGCCAGCAGCCGCGGUAAUACGUAGGGGGCAAGCGUUGUCCGGAUUUAGUGGGUGUAAAGGGGGCGCAGACGGCGAUG
rnacentral:rRNA from 1 species